rnacentral:rRNA from 1 species
UACGUAGGUGGCAAGCGUUGUCCGGAUUUACUGGGCGUAAAGGAUGCGUAGGCGGAUGUUUAAGUGAGAUGUGAAAUACCCGAGCUCAACUUGGGUGCUGCAUUUCAAACUGGAUAUCUAGAGUGCAGGAGAGGAAAGCGGAAUUCCUAGUGUAGCGGUGAAAUGCGUAGAAAUUAGGAAGAACACCAGUGGCGAAGGCGGCUUUCUGGACUGUAACUGACACUGAGGCGCGAAGGCUAGGGGAGCGAACAGG